ACGGAAGGCAGCAGUGGGGGAUAUUGCACAAUGGGGGAAACCCUGAUGCAGCGACGCCGCGUGAGUGAUGAAGUAUUUCGGUAUGUAAAGCUCUAUCAGCAGGGAAGAAAAUGACGGUACCUGACUAAGAAGCACCGGCUAAAUACGUGCCAGCAGCCGCGGUAAUACGUAUGGUGCAAGCGUUAUCCGGAUUUACUGGGUGUAAAGGGAGCGUAGACGGACGGCUAAGUCUGAUGUGAAAGGUGAGGGCUCAACCCUUAAACUGCAUUGGAAACUGGUCAUCUGGAGUGUCGGAGAGGUAAGUGGAAUUCCUAGUGUAGCGGUGAAAUGCGUAGAUAUUAGGAGGAACACCAGUGGCGAAGGCGGCUUGCUGGACGAUAACUGACGUUGAGGCUCGAAAGCGUGGGGAGCAAACAGGAUUAGAUACCCUGGUA
rnacentral:rRNA from 1 species